AUUUUGAGAAAAAUUAUACUUUAUUAUCAUUACUCCUCUUCUCUAAUGGGAUAGGAUAUGGGUUAUAUUGGGUUCUUUUUCUCUGGCCAUGUUCUCUGUCAUUUCAUUUAAUCUUCAUAAUGGCAAUAUGGGUAGAAAUUCUUAUUCCAGUUUUACAGAUGAGGAAAAUGGAAUUCAAAAAGACUAAGAGACUUGCAUGAGAGCAUACUUCCAAGUAAGUGUGAAAGCUAGGCUUCCAAUUCUGGUUAAUUUAUCUCAAAGCAUAUAAGGCUUACACUACUAUACCCUAUCUACCUCUCACAUAAUUUACCACAUUAUUUUGUAAUGCUUACUCAUUUGCACCUCCUACAAGUUUUUAGUAUCCUACUAUGCAGAGAAUAUAAUGUAUUUACCUUUGAGUUCCUUGUGUCUAACAGAAUGCUUUAUUAAGAGUGAACAUUUAGUGAAUAAAUGAAUGAAUAAAUUAAUACUAGUAAGUAUGACCAGUUUAUUCUGCUGAAUGACGUACAUAUUAAAACGAUUAGAAACCUAUUACCGUCUUAGAUCCACUCACCCAAAUAAGGCAUGUAGGGCUGCAUAUAUGGCUAGCUGGAACCAUAGGCAAUGAUGGGGUGGUUGGAGUCUGUUAUUCUCUGUCUUGAGGCAAGCCAGGUGAUUCAUCACAUGGGGUGGGAGAGGAUUGUUGGAAAAAGGAUCUGAGAGGAAGUUAGGGUCAAAGAGAGGAUGUGGAAGUUGAACCAUGGUUCACACAAGAACCGGGAACAAAUCCAAAGGAAAAGGAGUUCCAAAAGAAAAGAAUUUAUUUCUCUCUCCUUAGAAUUCCAUUCCAUUGUAUGAGCAAUGUUUGGAGAAAGGACAGAAGAGAGAAAGGGAAACAGAAAGACAAUAUUUUCCUAAGUUGUUCUUUGUUAGGCGCUGUAAUGGAGUGGAAUGAGACCUGGAUAUGGCGUCAGAGAGACUGGGGCUCAAGAACUGUGCUCUGACAUUUAUUAGCUGUGGGCAAAUAACUUAACAUGUUUAAAUCUUCAUUUCUCAUCUGUAAAAUAUGGUUGAUACUAUCCAACUUAAAAAUCACAGUGCAAAUUAAAUGAGAUAAUCGUUGUGAAAAUGUCUAGCAUGGUGUCAGCCACGUAUUAAAUGUUCCGAGAGUGUUUACAUAGAUGACUAAGAAAAGCUUUAGUCUUCCUAAAUAUUUUCCAGGAAAGACUAUCAUGAUGGGAACUGUUGGACAGGCAAGUCAGUAAAUAGCAAGAAGGACUUGACCUUCUGUGUCUCCGGGAUCCCACAGUUGCAUAGACUUGGUGAGAGACUAAUAUGAAACAAAUGUGUACUAGAAAUAUAUUUUCUAAGCAAGCUCUCUUCCUGAGGAGCUGGGGAAGAGAUUAAAUCCUUUUCUGCCUGCAUUCAACAUGGAUCUCCUGAAUGGUGGUUGGCUGCCAAGCACUGUCUUGGACCUGGACAGACAAAGAUGCAAAGACAGUGCUCCAGUUCUCUAAGGAAUUGUGGUCUGUGGAGUCAGAAGGAUAUUUAAACAAAGAAGAGGACCAUGGAACCCAGGAAAAGUUUUCUACAAGACAUGUUUCCUAUUCUAAGCUCUGAAGGACUUUGAGUCUAAUUUGAAACUUUCUCAACAUGACUGAUCCUACUUUCAUGGAAAAAACAUAACCCUUCCACGCUGAUUCCUGGCUGAUGUUUCCAGCUGCGAGGUCAGCUCCCACUCCAUUGCAGCACUGGAAAUGAAGUCAGCCUACAGAGGAAACUAAUUGUGUUCCCGUGCUGGAACAAUAUCUGUAUAUACUGGAAAAAGUAAAGACAAAGCUCACUUCACAAUUCCAGCUCCACCCCUGCUUAGUGAUACCACCUUGAGAAAAAAUGGCUUAACCUCUCUAAGAUAGCACAUUUGGUGGUAAAAUAGGAAUGCAAAUACUGAUUGGAAAAGGCACGUAAGUCUUAUACUUCAAACCUUUCCUGGAGACACAUGGGAAUACUCAGAUUUACACUCUACUUUUCUACUUUGGGGAGAAAAAAAACAGAAGAAACUAAACUAAAACUGUGCAGUUUGUAUUUUAAAAAAGACUGGACAUUGAGAUCUUGCCAAACAUCUCUCCAUUCAGCAACCACUGAGAGAGUGUGGCGCUACCUUUUAUCUGUUGUAUGAGCUUGGGGAAAUGACUCGGUACCUCUGAGUUUCCUCCCUCAUCUGUUAAAAACAAAAUACAAAAAUGGUGUUGCAAUGCAAGAAAUUCUUUUAGUUCAUAUUCUUCCAGCUUCUCUGGGGCUCUGUCAAUUAUCCUGCACUCUGUUUUUCCUCCUGGGUUGCAUGUGUGACCUUAGACAUGGAUAGCACAUGAACACGCUUGCUUCUGCAGGGUGCUGAUACUUUCUAGGUGACUGAGACUCAUGGAGUGGAAAGAGUGACUGUAGAGGUGACAUAUCAUUAAACCAAGUCACACUGCCUGCCAUUUAUCUGCCUGAAGGGAAGUUUCCUUUCGUUCGGGGACACUGGGACUCUAUCUAGGGUAAAGGGAAGACAAACACACAAUACUCCGAUGUCCUUGGGAAAAUGUCAUUGAAAUGGGUCAGCCUUUCUAUUUCAGAGUUGUGCUCAUCUGAAAACAUUAAAGAAUGUUAAAAAUAAGUACACAGUGUGCUCUCAGCUGCUCCAGCCAAGCCAGCUUGUCUUUGAGAAGGCCUCUGGAUAUUAACAAUAGGCUUAUAGACAUGCCAGCCUCCUGUGACUUCUCUGGGGAGUAAUGUGGGCAUUUGGGGAAGUUCCUGCAUCACUCACUGUCCCACAAACUCUUUGUCAAUGAGGUAGAAAUUACUUGGGCAAUAUUAAUCUCUUGGGGUGGGGUGGGUAUGUAAGCAGACUUAAUGAUUUCAAUGUUUUCUAAAUGUGUACUCUGAUUCUAAACACUGAAUUUCUACAUUUUGUCUACGAAAAACAAACAACUUUCAACAUCAAAUUUAUUUCUGUUUCUCAGUCUUUCCUCUUUGUCUUUAUGCUAAGAUCUCCUACCCAAGCCCGUGGUCUCCAUAGAUUCAGGGCUAGAAAUAUUUAAGGGCUUCCUAGAAGACAGAACAGUAGCUUUAGAACCAGGCAAAUUUGGUGAUGAUUCCCAGUUUCGAUACCAAUGAGCUGUGUAAGUUAUAUUGCAUUCCACUUUUCUUCUUUGUCUCUGUUUCUCUAUCCAGACAAAGUAGAACUAACGGAUAACUCAUAAAUGUACUGUGAGCAUUAGGGAUGCUUAACCUAAAUUACCUAAAAUAGUGCUUGUUACAGUACAGAUACUAUUAAAUGUCAUUUGUGAAUAUUAUCAUUAUUGCUACUAUUAUUAUUAUCACUCUUAUGUGACUCAAUAGUCUUUCCCUAAAUGUUCUCUAAAGCAAUAAUAAUCUGUCCCUGAGCUAUGAGAUAAUCUUUCGUCUGAUAUCACACCUGGAUUUUUGAGUAUUGCUUGGCAACUAAACUCAGUUUUUGUACUGUCUCUGAUCUUUGGCCAGAGGUCCACUUGAUUGUCUUAGAGUUUUACAUUUUACCUGCCACAGUACUCACCAGAAAAUGCUGUACUCAGGCUCAGCUGAAAUGCCUACCUCUGGUGCAACACUCUUUGCCUUGUGUGUUUGAAUGGUUGUGCAUCUGGGUCUCUAAGCAAGGAGCUCCUUGAGGACAAGGGCUUCUCUGAUUCAUGUCUUCUUCUUCGGGCCUAGAGCAGGGUGAGUCGUGUGAUCACACAGUUCUGUUUGCCUGAUUCUUUGGGAGACUGUGUUGAUCCUGGCUGUUGCCAUUUCCUUUGGAGCUCUGUAGCUAGAUUGGGCUUCCUGUCCUCCUGGUCCCCCAUCCCAUUGGAGGGUGGAGUUUCAGGAGGCAGCUCCCCUUCUCUGCCCCACACGCUUCCCCCUGGCUGGGGUCCCAUGGUGAGAUCUCUUCCCAGGAGUCAGUUCACAGCUCAGUCACGUCUUGCUUAGGGGAAGACAAUGAAACUUGACCUGAGAAGGCUUGGAGUGAUUACUACAAUCAUCAUAAUUUAUAUGUAAAGGAACUUACAAAGAAGGAAAGGAAGAAAUUAAGGAACAAGUGUGAACAGGAAGGACAAGAGGCAAAGAGGAAGGAAGAAAGUAAGACAGAAAAUGUUUUUAAGGAUCUGCUUUGGGAUGAGCCUGGGCCAGAUACUUUCACAAA
rnacentral:lncRNA from 1 species